AGUGAACGCUGUCGGUAGGCAUAACACAUGCCAGUCGAACGGCAGCACAGUAAGAGCUUGCUCUUACGGGUGGCGAGUGGCGGACGGGUGAGGAAUACAUCGGAAUCUACUUUUUCGAGGGGGAUAACGUAGGGAAACUUACGCUAAUACCUCAUACGACCAACGGGUGAAAGCAGAGGAUCUUCGGACCUUGAGCAAAUGCCUGAGCCGAUGUCGGAUUAGCUAGUUGGCGGGGUAAAGGCCCACCAAGGCGACGAUCCGUAUCUGGUCUGAGAGGAUGAUCAGCCACACUGGAACUGAGACACGGUCCAGACUCCUACGGGAGGCAGCAGUGGGGAAUAUUGGACAAUGGGCGCAAGCCUGAUCCAGCCAUACCGCGUGGGGGAAGAAGGCCUUCGGGUUGUAAAGCCCUUUUGUUGGGAAAGAAAAGCAGCAGGUUAAUACCCCGCUGUUCUGACGGUACCCAAAGAAUAAGCACCGGCUAACUUCGUG
rnacentral:rRNA from 1 species